UGAAACGUCUAGAUUUAAUAAACUUACGUAAUUUUACGGCCUCCUCACUUUAGAGGAGCCAGAUCCGCAUAAAACAUUAGUCCACAAAUAUUGCUCCAUUGUUUUAGAGGGGUUUCUACCUUGUGCUCGAUGAUUUGCUUAAUACACCCAAUACUCAAUCUCAUUCGACUUUAUCAGUCCAAUAUUGACAUGCAAUCAUGCAUGCUAUGAAUAUAAUUGUUGAAAAAAACAAAGAAGAGAAAAUGAGUUUGUCUUGAACAGAGAAAUGAAAAGUUAGCUUUCGUUUAUUUUUAUGAUUAAAAACUUGGAAUAAAAUGGAGCUCAAGAGUUCAAGGCAAAGCUGGAACAUAUUUUCGUGUAUCGGUUAGUUGCAUAUAGUUACCAAAAACGUUAAUAUUGAUGUAUUGGUAGUGGUUUCUCAAGCAUUGGGAAUUAUGUAAAAUUUGUCAAAAAUUUGGGGGUGUAUAUCAUACCUGACAAAGUAGUGGAGUUCAAUGACAUCCAUUACGAGAGCAUAUCUCAUCGUAGUUGAUCCCAGUGCGUGUUAGUGAAAGACCUUGCGCCAUAAGGUGAGUCUAAGCUCUUACUCUCACUACGCUAUCUAACAAAGGCACAGUUGAUAGGGUUUAGCUUGCGGUGUCGGCAUCACCUGCCCAAGGACCUAUCUCUUUGUUAAUGCUGGAUCGUGUCUUUCCAUUAGGCCAAUCAACUAAGUUGAUAUCCAUCAACGAAGGGUGGUUCGAUAGUAGACUCAUUAUCUCACGUCCUCAUGUACACUAGUGUAAUACUUGUAGAGAUCUCUAUAUGGAUUGGAUUUGACAUUGAGGCGUCCCCCAACGAUAAUCACAAUUCAGACUUCAUGAGACGGAUUUGAGUAUCACUGAUCAAUGGAUCAGGUUGUGCCAAGCUCGCUUUCUUUCUAGUGCAAGACAAUAUCGAACCUAAGGGCCUCCCUCCUUUUAGGGAGCCACACGGCCUUAUGACACCAAUUUUGCCACUAUAUGGCGUCACCAUAUCACCAUCCAUGGUGAUGGCGUCAAGACCAACACUUUUUGGUCGCGCCAUGUCCUUUUUGUAGGACAUUAAUCCUUGCAGACAUAUUUGCAGCAUGUGAUCUCGUCACUUUAACACUAUAAACAUUUGGGAUCAAGAUGAGACUUAGUGGGGACAAACCACGACAAUUCACGUCGUUCCACUUGAACACUUGUGUUCUUAUCUCCCCCUAACGGCGGGAAUAUUGUCUCAUCAAAGUGACAAUCCGCAAUUUAGCGGUGAAUGAGAUUGCCUGACAAGGUUCUUACAUAUGCGGAUUAUAGGUGGAGGUUCAUAUCCAACCUAAACUUAUUCAUCUCAAAUGACCCAUCAUUGUACGCAGUGGCAAUGCGNNNN
rnacentral:lncRNA from 1 species